UCCUACAGGUGUGAUAUCCUACAGGUGUGAUAUCCUACAGGUGUGAUAUCCUACAGGUGUGAUAUCCUACAGGUGUGAUAUCCUACAGGUAUUAUAUCCUACAGGUGUGAUAUCCUACAGGUGUGAUAUCCUACAGGUGUGAUAUCCUACAGGUAUUAUAUCCUACAGGUAUGAUAUCCUACAGGUAUGAUAUCCUACAGGUGUGAUAUCCUACAGGUGUGAUAUCCUACAGGUGUGAUAUCCUACAGGUAUUAUAUCCUACAGGUAUUAUAUCCUACAGGUGUGAUAUCCUACAGGUAUUAUAUCCUACAGGUGUGAUAUCCUACAGGUGUGAUAUCCUACAGGUAUUAUAUCCUACAGGUGUGAUAUCCUACAGGUAUUAUAUCCUACAGGUGUGAUAUCCUACAGGUAUUAUAUCCUACAGGUGUGAUAUCCUACAGGUAUUAUAUCCUACAGGUAUGAUAUCCUACAGGUGUGAUAUCCUACAGGUGUGAUAUCCUACAGGUGUGAUAUCCUACAGGUAUUAUAUCCUACAGGUAUGAUGUCCUACAGGUGUGAUAUCCUACAGGUGUGAUAUCCUACAGGUAUUAUAUCCUACAGGUGUGAUAUCCUACAGGUGUGAUAUCCUACAGGUAUUAUAUCCUACAGGUGUGAUAUCCUACAGGUAUUAUAUCCUACAGGUAUGAUAUCCUACAGGUGUGAUAUCCUACAGGUAUGAUAUCCUAUAGGUAGGAGUACAUAUGAUAUCCUAUAGGUAGGAGUAUAUAUGAUAUCCUAUAGGUAUGAUAUCCUACAGGUAUUAUAUCCUACAGGUAUGAUAUCCUACAGGUAUGAUAUCCUACAGGUAUGAUAUCCUACAGGUAUGAUAUCCUAUAGGUAUGAUAUCCUACAGGUAUGAUAUCCUACAGGUAUGAUAUCCUACAGGUAUGAUAUCCUACAGGUAUGAUAUCCUAUAGGUAGGAGUACAUAUGAUAUCAUAUAGGUAUGAUAUCCUACAGGUAUGAUAUCCUACAGGUGUGAUAUCCUACAGGUGUGAUAUCCUACAGGUGUGAUAUCCUACAGGUGUGAUAUCCUACAGGUGUGAUAUCCUACAGGUGUGAUAUCCUACAGGUGUGAUAUCCUACAGGUAUUAUAUCCUACAGGUGUGAUAUCCUACAGGUGUGAUAUCCUACAGGUGUGAUAUCCUACAGGUGUGAUAUCCUACAGGUAUUAUAUCCUACAGGUGUGAUAUCCUACAGGUGUGAUAUCCUACAGGUGUGAUAUCCUACAGGUGUGAUA